UUGUAAUUGGAAUGAUAGAAAUUUAAACCCUUUUUAAAGUAUCAAUUGGAGGGCAAGUCUGGUGCCAGCAGCCGCGGUAAUUCCAGCUCCAAUAGCGUAUAUUAAAAUUGUUGCAGUUAAAAAGCUCGUAGUUGAAGUUCUGCUGAAAGUAACCGGUCUGCUUUUAAUAAAAGUGGUAUCUUGGUAUGUAUUUAGCAAUGAUGUCCUUUGAAGUGUUUUUUACUUUAUUGUAAUAAAGCAUAUUCAGGACUUUUACUUUGGAGAAAAUUAGAGUGUUUCUAGCAGGCUGACGCUUUGAAUACUGCAGCAUGGAAUAAUAAGAUAGGAUUUUAGUUCUACAUUAUUGGUUUUAAGAGCUAAAUUAAUGAUUGAUAGGGACAGUUGGGGGCAUUUGUAUUUAACUGUCAGAGGUGAAAUUCUUAGAUUUGUUAAAGACAAACUACUGCGAAAGCAUUUGCCAAAGAUGUUUUCAUUAAUCAAGAACGAAAGUUAGGGGAUCGAAGACGAUCAGAUACCGUCGUAGUCUUAACUAUAAACUAUGCCGA
rnacentral:rRNA from 1 species